rnacentral:rRNA from 1 species
GACGAACGCUGGCGGCGUGCUUAACACAUGCAAGUCGAACGGAAAGGCCCUGCUUUUGUGGGGUGCUCGAGUGGCGAACGGGUGAGUAACACGUGAGUAACCUGUCCUUGACUUUGGGAUAACUUCAGGAAACUGGGGCUAAUACCGGAUAGGAGCUCCUGCUGCAUGGUGGGGGUUGGAAAGUUUCGGCGGUUGGGGAUGGACUCGCGGCUUAUCAGCUUGUUGGUGGGGUAGUGGCUUACCAAGGCUUUGACGGGUAGCCGGCCUGAGAGGGUGACCGGCCACAUGGGGACUGAGAUACGGCCCAGACUCCUACGGGAGGCAGCAGUGGGGAAUAUUGCACAAUGGGCGGAAGCCUGAUGCAGAAACGCCGCGUGCGGGAUGACGGCCUUCGGGUUGUAAACCGCUUUCGCAUGUGACGAAGCGUGAGUGACGGUAAUGGGGAAAGAAGCACCGGCUAACUACGU